AGGGUUUGAUCAUGGCUCAGGACGAACGCUGGCGGUGCGCCUUAUGCAUGCAAGUCGAGCGAAGCUUUUCAGUAGUUUACUACAGAAAAUGACUGAGCGGCGAACGGGUGAGUAACGCGUGAGCAAUCUACCUUAGUUACAGGGAUAGCCCGAGGAAACUCGGAUUAAUACCUGAUAUUCUUUAUUUCUCGCAUGAGAAUAAAAGGAAAGGUCAGCCGAACUAAGAUGAGCUCGCGUUCUAUCAGCUAGUUGGUGAGGUAAAAGCUUACCAAGGCUACGACGGAUAGCUGGUCUGAGAGGACGAUCAGCCACACUGGGACUGAGACACGGCCCAGACUCCUACGGGAGGCUGCAGCAGGGAAUAUUGUGCAAUGAACGAAAGUUUGACACGGCGACACCGCGUGCGGGAUGACGGAUCUAGGUUUGUAAACCACUUUCAGGAGGGAAGAAAAUGACGGUACCUCCACAAGAAGCCCCGGCCAACUACGUGCCAGCCGCCGCGGUAAUAC
rnacentral:rRNA from 1 species